UCCUUCUCAACUCCCCUUCGCCCUCCUCCCCUGCAGACAUCCCCAGAGUCCAAUUGGGUGGGCGCGUGACGGCAGCCCAGGCUGGGGACCAGAGGCGGCUCUGGGUGGGCGGAGGCCAGUGUCCCAGCUCUCCCCUCCGCCCCCUCUCAGUGCUAUCCGUGACGUCAGAGCCGGACUGGGUAAACUGAGCAGGGCUCUGGGGCGCUGGGGCGGAGAAGGCGACCUGGAGCAGCGGGGACGCACGGACAGAGACCCAGGCUGUGUGGCGCUAUAACCGCGCAGACAGUCACAGGCGAGCCAGAGCAGAGCCAUGGCCCUGAGCGAUCUGGUGCUGCUGCGAUGGCUGCGGGACAGCCGCCACUCGCGCAAACUGAUCCUGUUCAUCGUGUUCCUUGCGCUGCUGCUGGACAACAUGCUGCUCACCGUCGUGGUUCCCAUCAUCCCCAGCUAUCUGUACAGCAUUAAGCAUGAGAAAAACUCUACGGAAAUCCAGACCACCAGACCAGAGCUCGUGGUCUCCACCUCCGAAAGCAUCUUCUCUUACUAUAACAACUCUACUGUGUUGAUCACCGGGAAUGCCACUGGGACUCUUCCAGGAGGGCAGUCACACAAGGCUACCAGCACACAGCAC
rnacentral:lncRNA from 1 species